rfam:Selaginella moellendorffii unplaced genomic scaffold SELMOscaffold_80, whole genome shotgun sequence.
GGGUCUUGGGAUAUUUGGGGUUAAGCGUCUUUGGGUUUGAAUAGUACUGGGUUGGGUGACCCCCCGGGAAGUCCAAACUCAAGAUCUU